UGGGGAAUAUUGCACAAUGGGCGGAAGCCUGAUGCAGCGACGCCGCGUGGGGGAUGAAGGCCUUCGGGUUGUAAACUCCUUUCGACAGGGACGAAGCUUUUGUGACGGUGCCUGUAUAAGAAGCACCGGCUAACUACGUGCCAGCAGCCGCGGUAAUACGUAGGGUGCGAGCGUUGUCCGGAAUUACUGGGCGUAAAGAGCUCGUAGGUGGUUUGUCGCGUCGUCUGUGAAAUUCCGGGGCUUAACUCCGGGCGUGCAGGCGAUACGGGCUGACUUGAGUGCUGUAGGGGAGACUGGAAUUCCUGGUGUAGCGGUGAAAUGCGCAGAUAUCAGGAGGAACACCGAUGGCGAAGGCAGGUCUCUGGGCAGUAACUGACGCUGAGGAGCGAAAGCAUGGGUAGCGAACAGG
rnacentral:rRNA from 1 species